rnacentral:rRNA from 1 species
UACGGAGGGUGCGAGUGUUGUCCGGAAUCACUGGGCGUAAAGGGCGCGUAGGCGGCGCGGGUAGUCAACGGUGAAAGCUUGGGGCUCAACCCCGAGUCGGCCGUCGAUACUCCCGUGCUUGAGCACUGUAGAGGCAGGUGGAAUUCCGGGUGUAGCGGUGGAAUGCGUAGAGAUCCGGAAGAACACCGGUGGCGAAGGCGGCCUGCUGGGCAGUAGCUGACGCUGAGGCGCGACAGCGUGGGGAGCAAACAGG